rnacentral:lncRNA from 1 species
UAGAAACAAAAACUACUGGACGGAUUUUAAUGAAACUUGGUACAAUUAUUUUUCACACUCCUGGACAGGUUAUAGUAUACUUUUCAUCACGCUACAAUCAAUAGGAGCAGAGUAGUGAAGGGAAAUCCUUUUGUAUGAAAAAUCUAAACCGCUCAAGUUAGACGUUUGAAAUUUGGCAUGCAGGUACCUUAGAUACCGUAGAGGUGCACUAAGAAAGGAAUUCCCGAAAUUCCCACGGGAACGGGAAUUAGCGGGAAAAUCCUUUUGUAUGAAAAAUCUAAACCAUUCAAGUUAGACGUUUGAAAUUUGUCAUGCAGGUACCUUAAAUACCGUAGAGGUACACUAAGAAAGGAAUUCCCGAAAUUCCCACGGGAACGGGAAUUAGCGGGAAAAUCCUUUUGUAUGAAAAAUCUAAACCACUCAAGUUAGACGUUUGAAAUUUGGCAUGCAGGUACUUUAGUAAACUUAAAGCUUAGUUGCAACAGGAUAUUACAAAAUUCCCACGGGAACGGUAGUUAGCGGGAAAAACAUUUGUAUGAAAAAAUCAAAUCUAAAUAAAAGGAGAAACUGACUGACUCAGUGACUGACAUAUCAACGCAUAGCCUGAACGGCUAAACGUAGGCAUUUGAAAUUUGGAAGGGACAUAGCUUAGGUACCGUAGAGGUGCACUAAGAAAGGAAU